AAAAGUUUUAGUGGCGGACGGGUGAGUAAUACGUAGAUAAUCUACCUCUUAGAGGGAAAUAACAAGAAGAAAUUUUUGCUAAUGUCCCAUAAGACCACACUGUGGCAUCGCAGAGUGAUCAAAGGAGUAAUCCGCUAAGAGAUGAGUCUACGGCUGAUUAGCCAGUUGGUGGGGUAAUGGCCUACCAAAGCUAUGAUCAGUAGCCGAGCUGAGAGGCUGGCCGGCCACAUUGGGACUGAGACACGGCCCAGGCUCCUACGGGAGGCAGCAGUUGGGAAUAUUGGACAAUGGAGGAAACUCUGAUCCAGUGACGCCGCGUGAAGGAAGAAGGUCUUCGGAUUGUAAACUUAUUUUGUCAGGGAAGAAACAAAUGACUGUACCUGAAGAAAAAGCACCGGCUAACUACGUGCCAGCAGCCGCGGUAAUACGUAGGGUGCAAGCGUUAUCCGGAUUUACUGGGUGUAAAGGGCGAGUAGACGGCGAUGCAAGUCAGAUGUGAAAUGCUAGAGCUUAACUUUAGAACUGCAUCUGAAACUGUAUUGCUAGAGUGCAGGAGAGGUAAGCG
rnacentral:rRNA from 1 species